rnacentral:rRNA from 1 species
AAUGAACGUUGGCGGCGUGGAUUAGGCAUGCAGGUCGAGCGCUCAUAGCAAUAUGGGAGCGGCGAACGGCGUAGUAAUAUGUAGGAACGUACCCUCGGGUCGGGAUAGCCAUGGGAAACUGUGGGUAAUACCCGAUAAUCUCUGCGGAGCAAAGGUGUGAUUCCGCCUGAGGAGCGGCCUACACGAUAUUAGCUAGUUGGUAGGGUAAUGGCCUACCAAGGCUACGAUGUCUAGGGGGUGUGAGAGCAUGGCCCCCACGACCGGAACUGAGAUACUGUCCGGACACCUACGGGUGGCUGCAGUCGAGAAUCUUCCGCAAUGGACGAAAGUCUGACGGAGCGACGCCGCGUGCGGGAUGAAGGCCCUUGGGUUGUAAACCGCUGUCAGAGGGGAUGAAAUCUUCGGAGGUGCUCCUCCAAAGUUGACAGAGCCUCAAAGGAAGCACGGGCUAAGUACGUG